rnacentral:rRNA from 1 species
GACGUAGGGCGCGAGCGUUGUCCGGAAUUAUUGGGCGUAAAGAGCUCGUAGGCGGUCUGUUGCGUCCGCUGUGAAAACCCAGGGCUUAACCCUGGGCUGGCAGUGGAUACGGACAGACUAGAGGUAGGUAGGGGAGAAUGGAAUUCCCGGUGUAGCGGUGAAAUGCGCAGAUAUCGGGAGGAACACCGGUGGCGAAGGCGGUUCUCUGGGCCUUACCUGACGCUGAGGAGCGAAAGCGUGGGGAGCGAACAGG